GAUGCAGAACGUAGCGAAAUGCGAUAAGUAAUGUGAAUUGCAGAAUUCAGUGAAUCAUCGAAUCUUUGAACGCACAUUGCGCCCGCCAGUAUUCUGGCGGGCAUGCCUGUUCGAGCGUCAUUUCAACCAUCAAGCCCCCGGGCUUGUGUUGGGGACCUGCGGCUGCCGCAGGCCCUGAAAAGCAGUGGCGGGCUCGCUGUCACACCGAGCGUAGUAGAUUUUAUCUCGCUCUGGGCGUGCUGCGGGUUCCGGCCGUUAAACCACCCUUUUAACCCAAGGUUGACCUCGGAUCAGGUAGGAAGACCCGCUGAACUUAAGCAUAUCAAUAAGCGGAGGA
rnacentral:misc_RNA from 1 species